UCAGUCGUCUAGGUUUCUACA
ensembl:piRNA 21ur-1170 ncRNA